AUUUAUAUAGUUUAAAAAAAACCUUACAUUUUCAUUGUAGAAUUAGAUUAUAUCUUAUAAAUA
rnacentral:tRNA from 1 species